rnacentral:rRNA from 1 species
CUCCGGGGGUAGCGGUGAAAUGCUAUAAUCCCUGGGGGACCGCCAGUGGCGAAAGCGCUCGGCGAAACCGGACCCGACGGUGGGGGACGAAGGCCAGGGGCGCAAACCGGAUUAGAUACCCGGGUAGUCCUGGCUGCAAAGUAUGUGGGUUAGGUGCCGGACGUUCCUCGAGAGCGGUCGGUGCCGAAGGUAAGCCGUUAAGCCCACCGCCUGGGAAGUACGGCUGCAAGGCUGAAACUUAAAGAAAUUGGCGGGGGAGCACCACAAGGGGUGGAGCCUGCGGUUUAAUUGGAUUCAACGCCGGACAUCUCACCGGGGGCGACGGCAGAAUGAAGGCCAAGUCGACGACUUUGCCGGACUCGCCGAGAGGUGGUGCAUGGCCGCCGUCAGCUCGUAUCGUGAGGCGUCCUGUCAAGUCAGGUAACGAGCGAGACCCUCACCCUUAGUUGCCAGCGGAUUCCUUACGGAAUGCCGGGAACUCUAGGGGGACCGCUACCGAUAAGGCAGAGGAAGGAGAGGGCGACGGUAGGUCCGUAUGCCCCGAAUCCCCCGGGCAACACGCGGGCUACAAUGCGCAGGACAGAGGGCUGCGACCCCGAAAGGGGAAGCCGAUCCCUAAACCUGUGCCUAGUUCGGAUCGAGGGCUGAAACUCGCCCUCGUGAAGCUGGAAUCCCUAGUAACUGCGUGUCACUAUCGCGCGGUG